GUGAAUCUAAACAAAUUUAUCUUUUGGCUGAAUUGGAAUCAGUAAGAUUUUUGUUAGACAGAAUAUAAAUUAAAUUGUUUAUUAUACAUCAAAUCACUUAACUCAAUGGGCUAAUCGAUAUUUAUAAUCAGGCAAUAAAUAUUAUAAGGUUAAUUAGUCAAAGGUCAAAUAAUGUCAAAACUACUACUUGCUCCGUGGUAACCUUUCCUAUGUUUGAAGAUAUACGUUGUUAUCAAGAUAUACAAUUAUUAUCCAAAUUUAUAUAUGGUCAGCUUUCGUCAGACAUCCUAUAUUAUAAAGUUCCUCAAGUCAAUACAAGAAAAAAUGAGCUACUUUUAAUUCCUAAACAUCGUUUGCGGAAGACAUCUAAUUCCUUCUUUGUAAGAGCCUGUAUUAGUUAUAAUGAACGGUACAUGGUAAAUUGUUUUUUGUAAGGGGGAUCACCCACUGCUUUAUGCCGGGUGGAUGAGAAUGUACAAAUAAAUAAAUAAAUAAAU
rnacentral:lncRNA from 1 species